rnacentral:rRNA from 1 species
CCUACGGGAGGCAGCAGUCGAGAAUCAUUCACAAUGGGGGAAACCCUGAUGGAGCGACGUCGCGUGGGGGAAUGAAGGUCUUCGGAUUGUAAACCCCUGUCAUGUGGGAGCAAAUUAAAAAGAUAGUACCACAAGAGGAAGAGACGACUAACUCUGUGCCAGCAGCCGCGGUAAUACAGAGGUCUCAAGCGUUGUUCGGAAUCACUGGGCGUAAAGCGUGCGGAGGAUGUUUCGUAAGUCGUGUGUGAAAGGCGGGGGCUCAACCCGCGGACGGCACAUGAUACUGCGAGACUAGAGUUAUGGAGAGGGAGCCGGAAUUCUCGGUGUAGCAGUGAAAUGCGUAGAUAUCGAGAGGAACACUCGUGGCGAAGGCGGGUUCCUGGACAUUAACUGACGCUGAGGCACGAAGGCCAGGGGAGCGAACGGGAUUAGAUACCCCUGUAGUC